CCUACGGGUGGCAGCAGUGAGGAAUAUUGGUCAAUGGGCGCAAGCCUGAACCAGCCAAGCCGCGUGAAGGAUGACUGCCCUCCGGGUUGUAAACUUCUUUUAUAGAGAAAUAAAGUGCGGCACGUGUGCCUUUUUCUCUGUACUUUAUGAAUAAGGAUCGGCUAACGCCGUGCCAGCAGCCGCGGUAAUACGGAGGGUCCGAGCGUUAUCCGGAUUUAUUGGGUUUAAAGGGAGCGUAGAUGGGUUGUUAAGUCAGUUGUGAAAGCUUGCGGCUUAACCGUAAAAUUGCAUUUGAUACUGGCAGUCUGGAGUACAGUAGAGGUAGGCGGAAUUCGUGGUGUAGCGGUGAAAUGCUUAGAGAUCACGAAGAACUCCGAUUGCGAAGGCAGUUUACUAAACUGCCACUGACAUUGAUGCUCGAAAGUGUGGGUAGCAAACAGGAUUAGAUACCCUAGUAGUC
rnacentral:rRNA from 1 species